ACAAUGGAGAGUUUGAUCCUGUCUCAGGAUGAACGCUAGCGUCAGGCUUAAAACAUGCAAGUCGAGGUGCAGCAUAAACAUUGCUUGCAAUGUUUGAUGGCGACCGGCGCACGGGUGCGUAACGCGUAUGUAACCUACCUCAAACAGGGGCAUAACACUGAGAAAUUGGUACUAAUUCCCCAUAACACCUGAUAGGGCAUCCUAUUUGGUUGAAAGUUCCGGCGGUUUGAGAUGGACAUGCGUUGUAUUAGCUAGUUGGUGAGGUAACGGCUCUCCAAGGCGACGAUACAUAGGGGGACUGAGAUGUUAACCCCCCACAUUGGUACUGAGACACUGAACAGACUCCUACGGGAGGCAGCAGUGAGGAAUAUUGGUCAAUGGACGCAAGUCUGAACCAGCCAUGCCGCGUGCAGGAAGACGGCUCUAUGAGUUGUAAACUGCUUUUAUGCGAGGGUAAACUUGGGUACGCGUACCCAACUGAAAGUAUCGCAAGAAUAAGGAUCGGCUAACUCCGUGCCAGCAGCCGCGGUAAUACGGAGGACCCAAGCGUUAUCCGGAUUUAUUGGGAUUAAAGGGUGCGUAGGCGGUUUGGUAAGUUAGAUGUGAAAUUUUUAGCCUCAACCUAGACAUUGCCUCUGAUACUGACGAGCUAGAGA
rnacentral:rRNA from 1 species